GAAAAGAACUUUCUAUAUUGGCUUACACGGAAGGUCCGGGUAGUUCAGCAACUACAGCAAUUUACAUCACUGGACAGUCUGAGAACUCAGUAGCUACAUAGUCUAUAAAGCUGGCUGCCUCAGCAGCCCCAGUCUGGCACUGACAGUCUGGAGGAUUCUGGGAGAGCCGCUGGUCCUUAACUCAUUUAGGAAACUUGAAGAAGUUGGGCUGUGAUGUCAGCGGAGGUGGGCAGGCAAGAGAAGCUGUGUAAUUGCCUUAGACUCUUUAUUUCUGGGUCACAACUGGAAGGGGCUGCCUUCUCUGAGCCUUCGUCUCUCCGUUGAUCCUUCCUAUAAUGCCCAACAAGACCCAUCGAGAGGCAGGUUCUCGGCUAAUAACAGAUCCAAUCAAGUUGGCAGACACAAUUAAGCAGCAUGGACACUAUCUUACAGCCACACUGGCCUGCCAGCUGCUCCAGUAUGAGCUCUCUUCAUAUCUGCAUCCCCAGCACUCUGCAGACACCCAGUUUGUUGAGAUGCAUGGCUGAAUGAAUGGUUGACAUCUUGAGUGGGGGCAUUGCCGUGUGCAUUCUGGUCUAUCGUGGACUGGCAGCUGGAACAGAAGUGGCAGAAGAUGAGUCUUGCAUAGGAAAAAUGGUGGAUGGGACUCAGGACCUCAUGUAACCUAGCCUGGCCUCAAUGAGGUUGAGGAAUGGCCUUGAACCUCUGUUCUUCCUUCUUCCACCUCCUGAAUUCCGGGAUUGUAGAUACUAGCCACCAUUCCUGGUCUCUGUGGUGUUCAUGAUUGACCCUGAGGGUGAUGGUUUAUUUGUCAACUUUCCAGAAACUAGAGUCACCUGGGAAGAAGGAAGCUCAACUGAGGAAUUGCCUCCAACAUGUCCCUGCUCAGCGUCCAGGUUGGUUCCCUGUAGCCACUGAUAAAAUCAGGGGCAACUCCAGGGUCUUUUCCCUGUAUUGUUCUGGAUGUCAUUGAUGUGAGGCAUAUGGGAAAGGAAAUACAGAUAAAAUCUUAGCUGAGUCAGGAACUGGAAUGCAAUGGAAGAAGAAGAAGAAGAAGAAAGAAUUAAGUCCUAGAAAAUGAAGAAGGUGGAGGUCAGAUGUUGUCGAAUCAAUCUCCUUGACUAUUGGAAUGCAAGCGUGUGUGCAUGUGCGAGCACAUUUGGCUUUGGAAUGUGGCUGGAGCCAGUGACGUCACUGUGGGGCUGGACAGACUGGCUUUGGGACUUUGGCAUCGUGGGUAGAGAUGCCGCUGUGUGACUUUGGAGGAGCUACUUAAUCUCUCUGAGCCCCAGAUUUCUGAUAUGUAAGUUGGACUAUGCUUCUCAUAGAAGGGCUAUAAUUACUUCUGUAAGCGAGUGCCCACUGUAGAGAACAGAAGGGAACUGGAUGACAGGGUGAGGGGGUCUCUUCCACUUCUGUGUAUUUCCUUUCUGCCUUACUAUUCAGUUCCAACAGUAACUGUCUUAUGAAAUUCCCCCUCCUUAUUGUCCAAUCAGUCUUCAACACGCUGCCUGUCUCUUGGUAAGGACAUAACCUACAGGAUUUCUAUGGGGACGUCAAGUUCCUAGACAGGAUGGGCACACGGCUACAAUGGUAACGUAAUGACUUCUCUUUGCUGCACAUUAUCUGUUCUGAAUCACUGUAUUAGUUUGGAACUUCUUGUAUGUAUCGUUGUUAUAAAUGGACUCUGGACGGUGGUCACACCAGGCUUUUGUGUGUUAUGAAGGAUCCAGUUGGGUGGCUACAGACAUUCCAAAGCUCCCAUCUUCUAAGGAAGGCUUGUCCAAUGAAGAGCUUGGACACCUCAAGGCUCCUCAUUAAGAAGAUCCUAGGACACACCCAAGUGAAUACAUUCGUUUUUGUUCCUAGCAACCUUACCUUGUCAGACAAGUUAAAAGGUCAACUAUUUAUAAGGUGCGGCAACAGUCUGGUUAGCUCUGACUGAGUCAUGGGCAGGGAGUGGAGGCCUUUGAAGUCAAAGGUGGGUUUGAAGUAAAUGGGUUUGUUUCUUAUUGCUGCUUUCUAAACUCCCAGGAGGAGAAAGGGAUGCCGACGGGGAGAGGACCAGAGGAAGGAGAGAGGUGAGAGCGAAGGCCGAGUGUGCCACACAUCAGGAGCUGGUUAUGCAAGUCACGUGCUCUCUAAUUGACUCUGUAAGCCACCUUGUAAAGUAGCUACCCCUGUGUUUAUUUUGUGGGGAAAGUAAAUAUGCAUCAGAAAGCUUAAGAAAAUUGCCCGCAGUUACUUAGCCAAUCAGAAUGGAGCAGGAUAUCGGCAUCCAAGCCGGGAGCUGUUUAUCCUUAUGUUGUUUCUCUUCGCAUUUAACCAAGAUGAUUCUGCAUCUGCUUGUGUCCUGUGCUGUGUGUUGGGCAUGAUGAUGUAAUAAUGAAGACACCCUUCUCAAUUCCCUGAGCACACGGUGUUCCCUGGCUGGUAGCACACUCUGACGUUGAAACAGUUUCCAUGCAGAGCGCCCCCUCUCCGCCUCCCAGUGCCCCAGGUGCCUCAGGUGUAGAGGGACUGAAGAUUUUCGGGUAGGUCUUAUCAGUGUCACCUGGGGAAGAAGGUUGAUCUGUGAGGACUUGUGGAUGAAAGGAUUGGUACUCACAGAUUUCUGAGGGCAGGAGACAUCAGUGUGCAAGCCAUUCUGAUUGGAACAGGGGAUCCAAGGAUGGGAGUGGCCACAGGAAAAGGAGGGACAGAGUUGCGGUGGACCUUGGGUACCAGUGCAGAGCCAAGGAAAGUCUUUCCUAGGGAAACAACUUGAUGACAUUUGUCUUCUAGGCUCCUUGGUAGCUUAUGGCAGUAGGGGAGGAUGUGGGAGUGAACCCGUGAGUCUAAGGGACAUUGGGAUGAAACUUCACAAUCGUCCCCAUACUGAGACAAUGGGGCACAGUAUUUGUAAGCCACGUGGGUUCGUGUUCAAAGUCGAAAGACAUUUUAGGUGGAAUUUGGAAGUUCUAAAUCCCUGUCCUGUGUGGCAGAGCCAACAGUUUGGCUGACAGGACUGUUCCCCGAGAGGACAUGGACACAGAGGCUCAGGGCCUGGGUUGCAGAGGCAGGGGAGUUGUAGCUUACUGUCUCCGAUGCUAAGGGGCUGAGAAGCUGAAGUGUAGGAAGUGCUGUCCCCGUGAAUACUGAUUUACAUAAUAGCAGCACCUCAGGUGGACAGGAAGACAGAGCUGGGCAUUAAAGGACUCUGCAGCAUGAAGAAGCAGGGGGCUUACUUGAGUGGAUUUUUGGUGAGAAGGGGCCACAGAGAAGAGGAGUGACAAGAUAGCCUUCUCCUAAAAAUUAAUUGUGACUUAGUAUGAGAUGGGAAUAGUAAUAACGACGAUGAUGGUAAUGAUGACGAUUGUUAAUGUUAUUAGGGGGCUAGCGGAAUGUCAGCACUACUACUAGUGCCCAUACGGCAGAAUGAACUGUUUCCAUGAAAACGGGGCCUAAGGAGUUGGCAUCCUUAUGACAGAACAGUAUUUUAAAAGUCAAGGAUGCCCUAAGAGCAUUUCAGAAAGAGAAGAUCACUUUGGGGUCCUCAAGAUGGCUCACUGGGUGAGGGCACAUCACCUCUAAGCAUGGCAACAGGGGUUCAGUGCCUGCACCCCACACUGAGGAAGGAGGAAACGGACUCCCUCAAAUCAUCAUCCGACCCCCACAUCUGAGCAAGAUCCGCCUCCCCCUCCAACACACGCAAUAAAUAAUUGUAAUGAUGAGAAAGGACGGGA